CACCCGCCUUGGCUUCCCAAAGUGCUGGGAUUACAGGCAUAAGCCACUGCGCCUGGCCAAGGUACAGGUGUUAAAGAGGCAAUACCAUUAUUCCAUUUAAUGGACCCUCUUUUAAAAGAAUAAUAAUAAUAAUAAAGGACUGUAUUGUUAAAAAAAAAAUACAAGGAAUCCACACAUAUUCAAGGCAUUCCAACCCCCAAAAGGUUUACCAACUACUUGAAAGGGGCCUCUCUUGAAUGUGGGGUCUCUUCCCUCAUACACAUGCUGUUUCUUCCUCAGUCAAGUCAGCCCCUCCUCUUCCAUACUUUUCAUCCACUGCCUCUACUUACACCAUCCUAUUGUAAACCCUCUAACAAAAAGCCAGGAGCUUCCAGUUGCCAAAUCCCAGGAGACUGGUCCUUAUCUCGCUGCAUGUGAUUAUGCUGACUAUAUUCUCCUCAGUGUUCACUACACCACUCUCCUGGUGCUCCCCGCCAACUGGACUGUUCCUUUUUCAUCUCCUUUGAAGGAUCGCCUCCUUCAGAAAUACACUGAAUCUUGUGUUUCCCAAAGUUCCUGCCAUUGUUCUUCUCUUUUCCUGCUAUAUGUGCUUUGCCAAUUUCAUCCACUCUGAAAUUUCAGCCGUCUGCAAUGUCUAUACCCACAACCCAGACCUCUGGCUAAACUCUAGUCCUAUACAUCCAAAUGACUACCGGACAUCCCUUCAGAAUGGACCAUAAAUACACCCAUUAAACGUCGCAUGUCCAAAACUAAACAUCUUCCCUCCAACACCUAAGACUCUUCCUAAAUUGGCUAGUGACACCAUUUUCCAAGCCAGAAAACUGGAAGUCAUCCCUGAUUUCUCUCAGUCCCUCCUGUCUACUCAAUGGACUCCUUAAUAUAAUUUGAAAAUGGUCUCCUAUCUCCUUCUCUACCCACCACUCACCUACUUGAAGCCCUUCAACAUCUUCUGCUGAGUAUUCUGUAACAUCUUCACCGACCUCCCUCCAUCCAGUCUUGGUCUCAAACCUGUCUUUCGUAUGGUCAUGAUGACAUCACACCCUCAUUUAUAAUCCUUUGACGGUUUCUCUUCUCCUAUGUCAUAGGGCUUAUGCUUCUGAGCAUGGCAGAUAAGGCCCUCCAUGUCCUAAUGCCUUGCCUCUCUCACCAGCCUCUUCUCCCACCACUUUACGUCCUGAGCUUUCUGUUUCAACACCACCAAAACACUCAUGAUUCCCUGCUCAUGCCCUGUGUUUUGUACCUUCAUCCUCCAUCCAUGGAGCCCUCAGGUUCUUGCAGGGGAGGGGCAGUAACCCAGAUGGUUGUCACUUCAAUGUUUAGCCCAGCAUCUGGCACCUAAGGGGUGCCGUGUGACCAGUCAGUGAUAAACGAUGGGAGACAGUAUAUGGUAUGUCCAAAAGGAGUGACAGAUAGAAAGUGUGGAGGGAAUUUGGACUCACAUUGAUAGUCAUUGCAAUGGGGCCUAAACAAGCUAAGCACCUUCCACACGAAAAGUACAGACAGCCAGCAAAAGCUCGACUCUUCCAUCUAACAAGCACCACAAACCUAGAGUCAUGCUCUACUUUUUUGGAGAAAACAUGUUGGUUUCCCACUGAGCCUGCCAUCAUGAGGCACAAUAGUGGGCAUCUUGGUGGUUUGCUAAUAAUAACAGCUGAUAUUUAUAGAAGGCUCACUGUGGAUCCAGAACUUUACCGAAAAUUCUACAAGAGCUGUAUCUCUCAGUCCUCACAUCAACACUAUGAGGAAGGAACUACUGUCACCCCUGCUUUACAGGUGGGGAAAUGAGGCCCAGAUAUCAAGUAGCUGUACUAAAAGCACAGAGAUUUAACCUCCUGGACCUUAUUCACCAGAACGCAAGCCAAACCUCCAUAUAUAUUUUACUUACUUCCCAAAAUUUUAUGUGUACAUCAAGAGCUGAUCAUAAAUAGAAGGUCAAAGUGACCUAUUGUGACAUCAAACCUUGGAGCCACUUUAAUGUGACUUCACUAAAUUGCCUUCGUCCGGUGCCUCACAGACAGCAUCCCAGCACAUCAUGGAGACCUAAGUGACAGAACAGGCAGCUCCUCUUCUCCCUGCUCUCCCCUCCAUGGCCCAUCUCAUCCACCUCUGCCAUCUCCAUGUCCAAGUUCAGGGGCAGCAGUGGUAUGUGAUGUUGGCAGCGGUGCCCAAACAUCAGCAAUCAGCCUACUGCUGUCCCAGCACCAAGCCAGGGUCUGUGAAGGGUGAAGGAGAAGGCUCUUUGGGUCAUCUGACCCUGGUCUCCACUCAAAAUGAGACACCAGGGUGUUCCCCACCCACAUACAUUCAGGAUUGCUGUCUCCAAUCUCUAUUUGAGACAUCAGAGAUGUCAUCAUUUCCAUAUGCUUCUCCUAAUAAAGUAACAUCCAUUUAAA